GGUUCGGCUGGCCGGUGCUGGCGGUGAUCACGGCGCUGCAGACGCUGGGCAUGAUCGGGAAGCUGCUCCGGCGCCAGUUCGGGUACCGGGUCUGAUCCGC
rnacentral:tRNA from 1 species